rnacentral:rRNA from 1 species
UAAAAGUAACGAAGUCCGUGAGCCAUGCGUCAAGAAAAGCCGCUAUCGUUCAUACCGUACCCGUACCGUAAACCGACACAGGUGGAUGAGGAGAGAAUCCUAAGGCCGGCGGAAGAAGCAUUGUCAAGGAACUCGGCAAAAUGGCCCCGUAACUUAGGGAUAAGGGGUGCCUGGGAAACCAGGCCGCAGAGAAUAGGCUCAAGCAACUGUUUAGCAAAAACACAGGUCUAUGCGAAACCGAAAGGUGAGGUAUAUGGGCUGACGCCUGCCCGGUGCUGGAAGGUUAAGAGGAGAGGUUAGCGCAAGCGAAGCUUUGAAUUUAAGCCCCAGUAAACGGCGGCCGUAACAAUAACGGUCCUAAGGUAGCGAAAUUCCUUGUCGGGUAAGUUCCGACCCGCACGAAAGGCGUAAUGAUUUGAGCGCUGUCUCGACAAUGCAUCCGGUGAAAUUGAAGUACCAGUGAAGGUGCUGGUUACCUGCGCCAGGACGGAAAGACCCCAUGGAGCUUUACUCCAGUCUGGUACUGGGACUCGGUAUUGCAUGUACAGGAUAGGUGGGAGGCUGAGAGACAGUAACGCCAGUUAUUGUGGAGCCGCUGUUGGGAUACCACCCUUGCAGUAUUGGGUUUCUAACCAGCCGCCGUGACCCGGCGGUGGGACAAUGCCAGACAGGGAGUUUGACUGGGGCGGUCGCCUCCGAAAGGGUAUCGGAGGCGCCCAAGGGUUCCCUCAGAAUGGACGGAAACCACUCGAAGAGUGCAAAGGCAGAAGGGAGCUUGACUGCGACACCGACGGGUGGAGCAGGUACGAAAGUAGGGCUUAGUGAUCCGGUGGUAUUAAGUGGGAAUGCCAUCGCUCAACGGAUAAAAGCUACCCUGGGAUAACAGGCUUAUCACUCCCAAGAGUUCACAUCGACGGAGUGGUUUGGCACCUCGAUGUCGGCUCAUCGCAUCCUGGGGCUGUAGUAGGUCCCAAGGGUUGGGCUGUUCGCCCAUUAAAGCGGUACGCGAGCUGGGUUCAGAACGUCGUGAGACAGUUCGGUCCCUAUCCGGCGUGGGCGUAGGAUAUCUGAGAGGAGCUGUCCUUAGUACGAGAGGACCGGGAUGGACGGGCCGCUGGUGCAUCGGUUAGACUGCCAAGUCUACGGCCGAGUAGCCAAGCCCGGAAGGGAUAAACGCUGAAGGCAUCUAAGCGUGAAGCCCCCCUUAAGAUGAGAUAUCCCAUUCGUAAAGAAGUAAACCCCCUUGAAGACGACGAGGUAGAUAGGGCAGAGGUGGAAGUGCAGUAAUGCAUGGAGCUGACUGUUACUAAUCGGGUGAGGGCUUGACCAU